GCCCCAGCUCCGCCGAGAGGCCGCUCGCGCCGGGUCCUUCCUCUUCCCCAAGUGCAGGCCGAGCCUCCGCAGCCACGGCCAGCCCUUCGGGCAGCUCCAAAGCCACUGGCAAGCCCCGAGGCAGGGAUGGCCGGCCCAGGAGGGAGGAGGACGACGUCCCUCCCUAGGAGAAGAACUGCGGCUGUUGCUGGAGGGGGGAAGCGCACAGCCCGACGACUGCGAGGACGGGGAGGACGCGCUGAGGUCAGGCAGGGAGGAGACCGGCACCCAGACAGGUGGCGACGGCAGAGGAGCGCAGUGGCUCACACCUGUAAUCCCAGCACUUUGGGAGGCCGAGGCUGGUGGAUCACCUAAGGUCAGGAGUUCGAGACCAGCCUGGCCAACAUGGCGAAACUGUCUCUACCAAAAAUACAGAAAUCAGCCAGGUGUGAUUGCACACACCUGUAAUCCCAGCUACUUGGGAGGCUGAGGCAGGAGAAUCGUUUGAACGUGGGAGACAGAGGUUGCAGUCAGCCGAGAUCGCACCACUGCACUUCAG
rnacentral:lncRNA from 1 species